AGUGAACGCUGGCGGUAGGCCUAACACAUGCAAGUCGAACGGCAGCACAGUAAGAGCUUGCUCUUACGGGUGGCGAGUGGCGGACGGGUGAGGAAUACAUCGGAAUCUACUUUUUCGUGGGGGAUAACGUAGGGAAACUUACGCUAAUACCGCAUACGACCUACGGGUGAAAGCAGGGGAUCUUCGGACCUUGCGCGAUUGAAUGAGCCGAUGUCGGAUUAGCUAGUUGGCGGGGUAAAGGCCCACCAAGGCGACGAUCCGUAGCUGGUCUGAGAGGAUGAUCAGCCACACUGGAACUGAGACACGGUCCAGACUCCUACGGGAGGCAGCAGUGGGGAAUAUUGGACAAUGGGCGCAAGCCUGAUCCAGCGAUACCGCGUGGGUGAAGAAGGCCUUCGGGUUGUAAAGCCCUGUUGUUGGGAAAGAAAAGCAGCAGGUUAAUACCCCGCUGUUCUGACGGUACCCAAAGAAUAAGCACCGGCUAACUUCGUG
rnacentral:rRNA from 1 species